rnacentral:rRNA from 1 species
CCUACGGGUGGCAGCAGUGGGGGAUAUUGCACAAUGGGGGGAACCCUGAUGCAGCGACGCCGCGUGGGUGAAGGAGUGCUUCGGCAUGUAAAGCCCUAUCGGCAGGGAAGAAGCAAGACGGUACCUGACUAAGAAGCCCCGGCUAACUACGUGCCAGCAGCCACGGUAAUACGUAGGGGGCGAGCGUUAUCCGGAUUCACUGGGGGUAAAGGGGGCGUAGACGGCCAUGCAAGCCAGGGGGGAAAGCCCGGGGCCCAACCCCGGGACUGCCCUUGGAACUGUGCGGCUAGAGUGCGGGAGGGGCAGGCGGAAUGCCUGGUGUAGCGGUGAAAUGCGUAGAUAUCAGGAGGAACACCGGCGGCGAAGGCGGCCUGCUGGACUGCGACUGACGUUGAGGCUCGAAAGCGUGGGGAGCGAACAGGAUUAGAUACCCGUGUAGUC